CUGGCUCAGAACGAACGCUGGCGGCAGGCUUAACACAUGCAAGUCGAACGCACCGCAAGGUGAGUGGCAGACGGGUGAGUAACACGUGGGGAUCUGCCCAAUGGUACGGAAUAGCUCCGGGAAACUGGAAUUAAUACCGUAUGAGCCCGCAAGGGGAAAGAUUUAUCGCCAUUGGAUGAACCCGCGUCGGAUUAGCUAGUUGGUGUGGUAAAGGCGCACCAAGGCGACGAUCCGUAGCUGGUCUGAGAGGAUGAUCAGCCACACUGGGACUGAGACACGGCCCAGACUCCUACGGGAGGCAGCAGUGGGGAAUAUUGGACAAUGGGCGCAAGCCUGAAUCCAGCCAUGCCGCGUGAGUGAUGAAGGCCUUAGGGUUGUAAAGCUCUUUCGCCGACGAAGAUAAUGACGGUAGUCGGAGAAGAAGCCCCGGCUAACUUCGUGCCAGCCGCAGC
rnacentral:rRNA from 1 species